rnacentral:rRNA from 1 species
UGGAGAACUGAAACAUCUUAGUAACCAGAGGAAAAGAAAUCAAUUGAGAUUUCCUGAGUAGCGGCGAGCGAAACGGAAAUAGUCCAGUCACUGAAUCCAAAUGAAAUUAGUAAAACAACCUGGGAAGGUUGGCCAUAGAAGGUGAUAGCCCUGUAUACGAAAAUUGAAUUUGGUGGGUGACGAUGAGUAGAGCGGGACACGUGGUAUCUUGCUUGAACAUGGGGGGACCAUCCUCCAAGACUAAAUACUCUAUGCCGACCGAUAGUGAACUAGUACUGUGAAGGAAAGGCGAAAAGAACCCCUGUUAGGGGAGUGAAAUAG